AGGUAUUGGCGUGCCUCAAUC
rnacentral:miRNA from 2 species